AUUUCUCUCCUGCUGUUUUCACUUCUCUUUAAGCUUGUCAUGAAGUAGAUGAUUCAUCUGUUGUGGGAUUAAAGUAUUUGCUUCUUGGUGCCAUUCACAAAUGUCUCGGAAACUCAGAAGAUGCUGUUCAGUUCUUUCAACGAGCUGUUAAAGAUGAGCUGUGUCGUCAAAAUAACUUGUAUGUUCAGCCAUAUGCUUGCUAUGAACUUGGAUGUCUUUUAUUAGACAAACCAGAGACUGUAGCAAGAGGCAGAACUCUACUUCUUCAAGCAAAGGAGGAUUUCUCUGGCUACGACUUUGAAAACAGAUUGCAUGUCCGCAUCCAUGCUGCUCUAGCCUCUCUGAGGGAGCUGGUUCCUCAGUGACAGACCUGGAAUUCCCACUCUGUCCCUCCCCACCCAGGUUCUGCACUUUAAAAUAAAAACCGAGGACACAGCUCUUGUGAAGAUCGGCUUUUCUUCUGAAAACCACCUGUGCCAGGGACACAUUUUUCCAUUUAAGCUGACAUAUUAAAGAUCUCCUCUUUUAAACAUAUACCUAAAAAGUAAUAAUACUGAUGAUAAUAGUAAUAUAAACUAACCACCUGGGGAGAGGGCUAAGUGACCUUGUUCAAACAUUUUAGUUUUGUGAUUUAUUAUUUUUAAAAUGCAAUCAAACUAUUCAACCUAUGUUCUUAUAGGAACGCCUAAUCUUAAGCACACAUCUGAC